UACAGAGGGUGCGAGCGUUGUCCGGAAUUACUGGGCGUAAAGGGCGCGUAGGCGGCCCGGCGCGCGUGCCGUGAAAGCCCGGGGCUCAACCCCGGGUCGGCGGUGCGGACGGCCGGGCUGGAGCACGUCAGGGGCGGGUGGAAUUCCGGGUGUAGCGGUGGAAUGCGUAGAGAUCCGGAAGAACACCGGUGGCGAAGGCGGCCCGCUGGGACGUGGCUGACGCUGAGGCGCGAAAGCGUGGGGAGCAAACAGG
rnacentral:rRNA from 1 species